rnacentral:rRNA from 1 species
UACGGAGGGGGCUAGCGUUGUUCGGAAUUACUGGGCGUAAAGCGCGCGUAGGCGGACCUGCAAGUCCUGCGUGAAAUCUUGCGGCUCAACCGCAAGCGGUCGUGGGAAACUGGGUGGCUAGAGUGCGGGAGAGGAGAGUGGAAUUCCUGGUGUAGCGGUGGAAUGCGCAGAUAUCAGGAGGAACACCGAUGGCGAAGGCAGGUCUCUGGGCCAUUACUGACACUGAGAAGCGAAAGCAUGGGGAGCGAACAGG